rnacentral:rRNA from 1 species
AACGCGAAGAACCUUACCAGGUCUUGACAUCCCGCUGACAUCUUUAGAGAUAGAGAGUUCCUUCGGGACAGCGGAGACAGGUGGUGCAUGGUUGUCGUCAGCUCGUGUCGUGAGAUGUUGGGUUCAGUCCCGCAACGAGCGCAACCCUUAUUUUAGUUGCCAGCAUUAAGUUGGGCACUCUAGAGAGACAGCCGGCGAAAGCCGGAGGAAGGUGGGGAUGACGUCAAAUCAUCAUGCCCCUUAUGACCUGGGCUACACACGUGCUACAAUGGCUACGACAGAGGGAAGCAAACCCGCGAGGGGGAGCAAAUCCCAGAAAGGUAGUCACAGUUCGGAUCGCAGGCUGCAACUCGCCUGCGUGAAGUCGGAAUCGCUAGUAAUCGCAGAUCAGCAUGCUGCGGUGAAUACGUUCCCGGGCCUUGUACACACCGGCUAC